rnacentral:rRNA from 1 species
GACGAACGCUGGCGGCGUGCUUAACACAUGCAAGUCGAACGGAAAGGCCCUGCUUUUGUGGGGUUCUCGAGUGGCGAACGGGUGAGUAACACGUGAGUAACCUGCCCUUGACUUUGGGAUAACUUCAGGAAACUGGGGCUAAUACCGGAUAGGAUCUCCUGCUGCAUGGUGGGGGUUGGAAAGUUUCGGCGGUUGGGGAUGGACUCGCGGCUUAUCAGCUUGUUGGUGGGGUAGUGGCUUACCAAGGCUUUGACGGGUACCCGGCCUGAGAGGGUGCCCGGCCACAUUGGGACUGAGAGACGGCCCAGAAGCCUACGGGAGGCAGCAGUGGGGAAUAUUGCACAAUGGGCGGAAGCCUGAUGCAGCAACGCCGCGUGCGGGAUGACGGCCUUCGGGGUGUAAACCGCUUUCGCCUGUGACGAAGCGUGAGUGACGGUAAUGGGUAAAGAAGCACCGGCUAACUACGUG